rnacentral:rRNA from 1 species
AGUGAACGCUGGCGGUAGGCCUAACACGUGCAAGUCGAACGGCAGCACAGUAAGAGCUUGCUCUUACGGGUGGCGAGUGGCGGACGGGUGAGGAAUACAUCGGAAUCUACUUUUUCGUGGGGGAUAACGUAGGGAAACUUACGCUAAUACCGCAUACGACCUACGGGUGAAAGCAGGGGAUCUUCGGACCUUGCGCGAUUGAAUGAGCCGAUGUCGGAUUAGCUAGUUGGCGGGGUAAAGGCCCACCAAGGCGACGAUCCGUAGCUGGUCUGAGAGGAUGAUCAGCCACACUGGAACUGAGACACGGUCCAGACUCCUACGGGAGGCAGCAGUGGGGAAUAUUGGACAAUGGACGCAAGCCUGAUCCAGCCAUACCGCGUGGGUGAAGAAGGCCUUCGGGUUGUAAAGCCCUUUUGUUGGGAAAGAAAAGCAGCAGGUUAAUACCCCGCUGUUCUGACGGUACCCAAAGAAUAAGCACCGGCUAACUUCGUG